UACGUAGGGUGCGAGCGUUAAUCGGAAUUACUGGGCGUAAAGCGUGCGCAGGCGGUUUUGUAAGCCAGAUGUGAAAGCCCCGGGCUUAACCUGGGAAUGGCAUUUGGGACUGCAAGGCUAGAGUGCGGCAGAGGAGACUGGAAUUCCUGGUGUAGCAGUGAAAUGCGUAGAUAUCAGGAGGAAUACCGAUGGCGACGGCAGGUCUCUGGGGCUGACACUGACGCUCAUGCACGAAAGCGUGGGGAGCAAACAGG
rnacentral:rRNA from 1 species